UUAUCUACUGUUUCUAAAUGUUCCCGAGAGGGAUGUGUCGAAACACCCACUGUGGUCAUAGAUUUAUCUCCUUUUCCUUUCAUUUCUGCCAGCUUUGCUUUUUGGAAGCUGUCUGAGACUGUGGGCUGCCAGGUCAGACCUCGCUUCCCUCCAAGGAGCCCCGAGGAGUCUGGCCUUGACCUGACUGCCCCCGCUGAGAACUCCGGGACCUCAGGGCCGCCUACAACCCAGGCGUCGUGGGAGAUGUGCUGGAUGCCCAAAGGUCCUCCAAGACUCAUCUCCAGACGGCAGGGAGGUGCUGCCCUGGUCCCGUCUACCUGGCCUGGAUUCAGUCUCCCUGUCAGAGGAAUUUUAUCCACUGCCUUGACUUCUGAGCACCGCCUAAGUGUGGGGCUUGUGCUAGUUGAUCAGGCUCCCAGCAUGCACCGCACAGGCAAAGCCCUUGCCUUUAAGGAGUCUGAAACAGACAUAGAAUCUCAGUCAGGGGGCCGGCGCAGCGGGUUAACACCCUGGCCUGAAGAGCUGGCAUCCCAUAUGGGCGCCAGUUCUAGUCUCGGCUGCUCCUCUUCCGAUCCAGCUCUCUGCUGUGGCCUGGGAAAGCAGUAGAUGAUGGCCCAAGUCCUUGGGCCCCUGCACCCGUGUGGGAGACCUGGAAGAAGCUCCUGGCUCCUGGCUUCAGAUCGGUACAGCUCCGGCCGUUGCGGCCAACUGGAGAGUGAACCAUAGGAUGGAAGACCAUGCUCUCUGCCUCUCCUCUCUCUGUGUAAGUCUUUCGAAUAAACACAUCUUUAAAAAAAAAA